rnacentral:misc_RNA from 1 species
UAACCGUAGGUGAACCUGCGGUUGGAUCAUUAAUACAUAUGUUAAUAUUCCGGGGCCAUGCGCGCUUCGGCGUUUGAACAUUGUUCCGGCGAAGCACGCAUGGCUCGUGGAAUGCCUGAAAAGGAAACAUCUUGUGAACUGUUCUGUUUCUGGCGGGGGAGUGGAGUUGCUUUCGGGCUCUCCGUUCGUCAGUUUGGGUUCUCCCAGGCCGUGGACAUCCCGCCAAACAUUUUAUUCAACCUAUGUCUUCUUCAAUAAUUUGUCUGACAAUUUUUAUGUAUGUAAAUACAAACAACUUUUGGCAACGGAUCUCUUGGCUCUC